GAUGAACGCUGGCGGCGUGCCUAAUACAUGCAAGUCGAGCGAACGGACGAGAAGCUUGCUUCUCUGAUGUUAGCGGCGGACGGGUGAGUAACACGUGGAUAACCUACCUAUAAGACUGGGAUAACUUCGGGAAACCGUAGCUAAUACCGGAUAAUAUUUUGAACCGCAUGGUUCAAAAGUGAAAGACGGUCUUGCUGUCACUUAUAGAUGGAUCCGCGCUGCAUUAGCUAGUUGGUAAGGUAACGGCUUACCAAGGCAACAAUGCAUAGCCGACCUGAGAGGGUGAUCGGCCACACUGGAACUGAGACACGGUCCAGACUCCUACGGGAGGCAGCAGUAGGGAAUCUUCCGCAAUGGGCGAAAGCCUGACGGAGCAACGCCGCGUGAGUGAUGAAGGUCUUCGGAUCGUAAAACUCUGUUAUUAGGGAAGAACAUAUGUGUAAGUAACUGUGCACAUCUUGACGGUACCUAAGCAGAAAGCCACGGCUAACUACGU
rnacentral:rRNA from 1 species